GACGAACGCUGGCGGCGUGCUUAACACAUGCAAGUCGAACGGUGAAGCGCCUUCCUUUUUGGUGGGUGUGGAUGAGUGGCGAACGGGUGAGUAACACGUGAGUAACCUGCCCCCUUCUUCUGGAUAACCGCAUGAAAGUGUGGCUAAUACGGGAUAUUCUGGGUCUGUCGCAUGAUGGGUCUGGGAAAGAUAUUGUUUCGGUGGGGGAUGGGCUCGCGGCCUAUCAGCUUGUUGGUGGGGUGAUGGCCUACCAAGGCGGUGACGGGUAGCCGGCCUGAGAGGGUGGACGGUCACACUGGGACUGAGACACGGCCCAGACUCCUACGGGAGGCAGCAGUGGGGAAUAUUGCACAAUGGGCGCAAGCCUGAUGCAGCGACGCCGCGUGAGGGAUGGAGGCCUUCGGGUUGCGAACCUCUUUCGCCAGUGAAGCAGGCCUGCCUCGUUUGUGGGUGGGUUGACGGUAGCUGGAUAAGAAGCGCCGGCUAACUACGUG
rnacentral:rRNA from 1 species